rnacentral:lncRNA from 1 species
GAAAAUGCAGAAGUACCUUCCAUUUGGGAAACAGCUGUCUUUCCACUAUAAGGAGAAACCUGGUGCUUUUCUGCCUGGUACUGUCCCAGCAUGGCACAUGUGAUAUUCCUUGGAUUGACAGCAGAGUCAUGAUAAUAGCCACUGAUGGUGGAUGACCCACACAGCCAGCCUCAGUCAUCUCACCCUUGGCAAAACAAUCUUUCUAGAGCCAAAUACUUGAGGGAUCUCCCUUGGCACAUAGCUUCCUGCAUAUCCUGACUUUCUUCUGGCUGUUCUCUUCCAACCUACAAAGAUGUAAGGUGAAUUUAAUUCAGGACCACUGGAGAAGGGCAGAAGCAGAUCCCUCCUAUCUCUCCAUGACCUCCUCAGCAAGCAGGCCGUGUCCUCCAGCCCACUCCCCAUCCCACUGCCUGCCCAUACAUACUCCAGGAGAACAGUACCUGUUUACAGUCUCUUGGCUCUCUGGAGUGUAGAGUGCUCUCAGAGUUGAGAGGGGAAGACACUGGCAUGCCAUGAGCAGGACUGCCUUGGAGCCAACUCACAGCUGAGCUUCCUACCUGGUCUUCCAGGGAAGGUGGAGCUUCAGGAAGCUUGACCUCCUAAUAGCACCAGCGUAAAGGGCAGUUAAGUGUUUGGGCAUCAAAACAGGCAUUGUGUGAGUUGUUGUGUAUCCCCAGACCAAUGUGACAAUAGAAACAAAUUAUUCUUAA